GAUGAACGCUGGCGGCGUGCCUAAUACAUGCAAGUCGAGCGAACAGACGAGGAGCUUGCUCCUCUGACGUUAGCGGCGGACGGGUGAGUAACACGUGGAUAACCUACCUAUAAGACUGGGAUAACUUCGGGAAACCGGAGCUAAUACCGGAUAAUAUAUUGAACCGCAUGGUUCAAUAGUGAAAGACGGUUUUGCUGUCACUUAUAGAUGGAUCCGCGCCGCAUUAGCUAGUUGGUAAGGUAACGGCUUACCAAGGCAACGAUGCGUAGCCGACCUGAGAGGGUGAUCGGCCACACUGGAACUGAGACACGGUCCAGACUCCUACGGGAGGCAGCAGUAGGGAAUCUUCCGCAAUGGGCGAAAGCCUGACGGAUCAACGCCGCGUGAGUGAUGAAGGUCUUCGGAUCGUAAAACUCUGUUAUUAGGGAAGAACAAAUGUGUAAGUAACUAUGCACGUCUUGACGGUACCUAAUCAGAAAGCCACGGCUAACUACGUG
rnacentral:rRNA from 1 species